AACGAACGCUGGCGGCAGGCCUAACACAUGCAAGUCGAACGAGUAAGAGCCGUAGCAAUACGGAGUUCUGCUAGUGGCGCACGGGUGAGUAACGCGUGGGAACGUGCCUUGGAGUUCGGGAUAACAGUUGGAAACGACUGCUAAUACCGAAUAUUCCCUCAGGGGGAAAGAUUUAUCGCUCCAAGAUCGGCCCGCGUAAGAUUAGGUAGUUGGUGGGGUAAUGGCCUACCAAGCCUACGAUCUUUAGCUGGUCUGAGAGGACGACCAGCCACACUGGAACUGAGACACGGUCCAGACUCCUACGGGAGGCAGCAGUGGGGAAUAUUGGACAAUGGGCGAAAGCCUGAUCCAGCCAUGCCGCGUGAAUGAUGAGCUAGGUGUAAAUC
rnacentral:rRNA from 1 species